UCUCUCACUCACCACGAUUCACUUCUGCCGAGAGCUACCCGUGGGGUCUCUGAAAAAACACAAAACAAGUGCACUUUCACGGUGAAAACACCCGCCUGUUCACCCAUUAACCGGGAUGAUGGAAGGAACAGAACAAUCCCUUGUUAAAGUCUUGGGGUGACCACCACCACCAACAAAAAUAGGAGAUACCCAAGAAAAAAAACGCAGUCACCAUCCGACUGAACUCUGAGGGGGUAAAAAAAAUGUUUUUUUUAAAAAACCUACUCCCCUGAAAGAAAUUGUAAGUAGUUUCUAUUAUCAACAAAGACAAAAAAAAAAUAGAGUUUUGGACUGUCGGAUUUUUUUUCCUCCUCUUUCUCCGGUUGUGUUUUUUUUUAUUUGGCGACACGUGUCGAUCUGGACGAUCUCUUUAAAAUGUCCAGCCCCGGCGAGAAAGUUCAAUAUUUGAGGUGGCUCUGAGGAAUUUAUGAUUCUCCAGGAGGUGGAGUCUUUCCCGCCCUCCGCUCACUGCAAGAACCGUUUUUUUUUCAAAAGAAGGAAACAAAACCAAAAACUUCUGGCCAAUUUUUUUUAUUUCUCUUUCCUCCCUUCGAGAAAUUUCCCUCGAGAAAUAGGAGAGACACUCGGAGAAGAAAAAAAACGCAGUCUCCAUCCGAAUAGACUCUGAGGGGGUUAAAAGAUGUCUUUUUUUUAAACCUACUCCUCUCAAAAAAAAAAGGAGGAACCCUUGCUUGGGACGUUAAUUGGUGUGUGGAUAAAGGAGGUUAAGUUCAAGUUUUCCAGUUGUUUCUGAGUAGACGAUAAGGAAGUAAAUUGGAAAGCGGAGUCAUAUUGAAUAAGUGUCUCCACAUCUUUGCUUUUCAUGUGACAAAAAUAUUGUGGUUUUCUAGUUUAUGUACAUUCCUAUUGUGUCUACUUAUUUUUAAUAAAAUUAUCAGUUCAACUUGA